UAAUAAGAAGCGAUCUCAUUGCAAUCAAUUUCGGCUUGAUCUUAGUUUAAUAGCCUUAUUUU
rnacentral:tRNA from 1 species